UACGUAGGGAGCAAGCGUUGUCCGGAAUCAUUGGGCGUAAAGAGCGCGUAGGCGGCCCUGUAAGUCCGUUCUGAAAGUCAAAGGCUCAACCUUUGAAAGCGGAUGGAUACUGCAGGGCUAGAGUCCGGAAGAGGCGAGUGGAAUUCCUGGUGUAGCGGUGGAAUGCGCAGAUAUCAGGAGGAACACCAAUAGCGAAGGCAGCUCGCUGGGACGUUACUGACGCUGAGACGCGAAAGCGUGGGGAGCAAACAGG
rnacentral:rRNA from 1 species